rnacentral:misc_RNA from 1 species
UCCUAGUUAACCUAGGCAGUCUCGUUAGAGUUCCCGCCUUUACGCGUUGGCAACUAACGAUAAGGGUUGCGCUCGUUGCUGGACUUAACCAAACACCUCACGGCACGAGCUGACGACAGCCAUGCAGCACCUAUGUAAAGACCCUUACGGGAAAAAUCAUCUCUGAUUUCGUCCUCUACAUUUCGAGCCCAGGUAAGGUUCUUCGCGUUGCAUCGAAUUAAACCACAUACUCCACCGCUUGUGCGGGCCCCCGUCAAUUCCUUUGAGUUUCAGUCUUGCGACCGUACUCCCCAGGCGGCGAACUUAACGCGUUAGCUUCGAUACUGCGUGCCAAAUUGCACCCAACAUCCAGUUCGCAUCGUUUAGGGCGUGGACUAC